CUCUGCUCCCAGCCCCGCAGCCCCUCUGCUCCCGGCCCCGCAGCCCCUCGGCCGCUGCAGCUCGCUCGGGUCCAUCAGCGCAGCGCUGGCAUCUCCUCAUGCAGCAGCUUCUCCCUGAGGCUCCCACACAGGGAUCUGUCCUCUGCCACGGCAGAGGAAACAGAGAAAUCUUCAAAGUUUUCAUUCCUUACCUUGGGGAGAAUGAGGUGCCCUGCAAGGCAGCUUCCUUCACUGCUGCUGCUGUGUGAGGCUGUGCCUCUCACCCACAUCACAGUGUAAAGUGGGCAGAAGUCUCGGAUGGAGUUUGCUUGGAAGUGAGAUGCGGGACACACAGGCUGUGGAACUAAGUGAGACAAGCUAUUACUACAAGCAAUACAAUGAGGAAUUUUCACAGAUAUAAAAGCAUAUAUCUAAAUGAUUUGAGCUGUCUCCACCAAAGCAGACAGACCUAAUGAGAGGAGAUUGUCUCCAUCUCUGCUCACUCCUCAAAAGAACACCUCAAGGCUGGCUCCCUAAUUCUUCUUGCUUUUUGUCAGAAUACAUAGAAAAGUAUCUUAACAUGAAACCAUUGUUUGAAUCUUGGUUCCAGGGUAAAAGUCAUCCUGCAAUGGGUUAUGAGAAAUUAAUACAGUAUUCUGGGCAGAUGUUUCAUAGUGGUGAUAAAUAUCCUUAGGCUGCUAAAUGCAAGACUGACCUAUUUUCUUUUCUGCUUUCCUAAAAUUCCAUUAGUUCCUCUUUUUUUAAAAAAAGUGGACAGAAGAUUAGUUUUCAGAGGUCUCUUGGUAGCUGAAAUGUCUUGCUUUUUAUUUUAUGUUUUAUUAAAGGCAUGCAAUAAUCCCUCAACAAUGCAAUACCAGUCAGGUUCAAUUGCUUAAUUAAGUUGUUGUGGUGAAGUCAUUAGAACUAUAACAGUUUAUAUAAAUUACCCAUAGCCAGUCCACCAUUCAUAACAAAAUCUUAGUAUCUUAUUUUGAAGUCUGGAUACUACCUUUCUGCUAGGGGGCAGAAAUAAUAACCUGACAUGUAAUUGAAAAUGUUGUCUCCUUUUAAUGGCUCAGAGUCAGUAUCCUCUCAUUGUCCAUGUAUAUAUGUCUUUUCUUAACUACAACAGUAAACUGAUCAAAAAUAAACUAAGAAAUAGGGAACUGUUUAGCAAUAAACAUCAUAAUGUGGUGUAUAACUGAAUGUUGAUGAAUUAUAAAUUAUAAUAGUGCAUCCAUAUGAUUGCCAAACUAGGCAUGAUUUGAAAGGAAUAUGGAUAUCUACAGAAAUCACAACAUUUGCUAAAUAUUGUUUUAACCUUGCUUAUGGCUAUAUGGCUUUUUCUCCAGAAUUGAAGCUAAGUUUGAAAUGAGCAAAGAAAGAAUGGAAAAAGUUCUUAGUAAGCAUUCAUUCUUAGUAAGCACAUCAUAAAUUAGAUACUAUAAAAAGAAUGAUACAGGUCAUGUACUCUUAAGAGCUCAAGGAAACAAAAUCUGAGCAUUGAAACUAACAGUGCCAUUCAUCUGUGGGAGAGGUGGCCAAAUCCAGAAAAAAACACCAGGACUUAAUGUCUUCCAUAAUGGUCACAUCUGAUUCUCUGCCCACUGCAGUCAUAGCACAGGAUAUUCUCUCAAUAAAUCGGAGCUGUUGUUCAGUAGCAAGUGGGGCUUUGGGAUCAAAAAAAGAAUAUUCAGCAUUUGGGCUGAAUUUACAUGUAUUUAAGAUGCUUAUUAAAAUUAAAAUGGAUAACUGUCUGUAUAGCUAGCCACUGUCAAUAAUAAAUCAGCUCUAACACGUUAAAUAGCUGACAUACAAUAUUUUGGACAGCUUUUUGUGUCUCUUUGUUUUACCACAAGCUUCAUGUGCUUGCCACAGGGAUUUUCACUGCUACAAUAUUUAGUUGAUAUAAAUUAGAGCCUCUUUGAAUUAAGAGGGUAUGGGUGCCAAAUACAACAAACUAUUUCCUGAAUGCUCUGUAAAAGCACAAAACAGCUGUCCAUGUUGUGCAAUCAGCGGCUGGUUUUGUCUCUGUGCUGGUCUGUAUUCUACUUCUUUUGCUUCAGUUCAUGAAUAUAAUUAUUGAAAGAAAAAAUGAAGAUGCUGGAAAUGACAAGUCCAUGUAGUUUUUCAAUCAUGAAGUCAAUGUUCUAUGGUGCACACCACUACAAAGUCAAGAGCUGCCCACUCUUGUGAAGCGCUGUACAGGAAAAGGGGCUACAUAACUGAAAAUGUCUUUUUAAAAAAACUAUAAAGGAAAAAUACAUUAGGUGUAAGAUCCAAACAUGGUUACAUAGCUAGUUUAAAGGGUAGAUUACAUUUAGCAGAGGCCAACUCCAUCUGUUAAGGUGGAGCUGCACAAGGGAUGACUGACUUCUAGGCCAGACUGGGUCUGCCUGAAUAAACAGCCAGGAGAAAUACCCUCUGUCUUCCAUGCAAAUUACACUGAUGUUAGAUAUAGUCUCACUGUAAAUGUGAAACAAUUGUAACACUCAGACCUUUUUGCAGGUUCUUUGUUAAUUUCUGUUAAUUUUAACAUUAAGACAUCAUAUCUGUGCUCUAGUUUAGUCAACACAGGGCAACUCUGUGGUACUUUAUGCAGGACGUGACACUGCAAUGACAGCAUGACUCUCUCCUGUGGGCAAAGAAUCUUUUUCAGGCAUGAAAUACUGAGUUGGCUGAAUUUGAAUAGAAGUAAGGUAGAGAAAAUACCCAUCCUUAUUGCCCAGUUUGAUGAUUUAACACACUUCAGCAUUUAAAUUAUUUAAGCAGCUAUACAUUAAUUUUUUAAUCUGUCAUCCUGAAGACUGCAUAAAAUAGUUACUCUCAAGAAUUAGAGAAGAAGGUUUUUGUCCACAUAGUGCAGUGAAGUUUUGUAAGAAGCUUCCCACCUCUGACUAACUCAGAGAGCAGCAUUAACAUUCCACUUCUGGAUUAUCAUCGGCAAAUUGCAGACAAAUUGCAAAGCUCUAUCCAAUCUACUCAUCAGUCAUCAAACUGGCUGAGAAAUUGUUUGAGCUUUGGAGUUGGUACAUGGCUAAAGGAAACUAGUGAAGCUUGCAAACAGCUGGGUUUGUUCAGCGACACGAGCCUGUAGUGAGCUCCUCGCGAGCUGGCUUUAAUAUCCCUGUGCAGCACAAAGACUGAUGGAGUGGAAAUUGAAAAUGCAAACCUAGCUUUUAUAGGCAUCACUUGCUGAACAGAGUGCAAAGAAGUACUCCACAUUUUAAUAUUGACAAAUAAAGUAAGAGAAUGAAAAGUCAUAUUUGUACAGAAGGAAAGAGCAGCUUUGAAAACACUAAAAGCCUUAAAAGUGGCUGCAAAGCAGCAGUUAGAGUGAAUAGCAAUUAUAGUGAAUAACAUCCUCUACUGUAGAAAGGCUGUGUCUCUAAGUAUUCAAAUACCAAAUGUAUCAAUGAUGCAUGAACUGGCAUUAUGAUUGCCAGGCCAUGACUGGAAUAAUGGACUAAAGACUUCUUCCCAUCACACUCCAAGUAUCUUACAUUCUGAGAAACGAAAAACACAGCUCAGUUGCACUGCUUGCAAAUAUUUGCCUAAACUAUAUGUGGACCUCAGGUUCUCCAUCACUUAAGGACUGUUAAACCAGCUCUCUACAUCAAGAAUUGCUUUCUUUAUGUGCUGGACAUGAAAAAAAAUGUGGGAAUACAAAUGCUGAUGGUUCAGUUUGAUAAAGUGCAUUAUAAUUGCCCUCCCAAAUACCCCGUAGGUUUCCUCUCGACUCAUUAUAUUUUUAGUUUUGUAAUUUAAUAAUGUUCAUUUUUACAAGAAUGCUUUGUUCUUUAAGUAUAUUAUCUACAGAUGAUCUGCAUAUUUCUUUGGUAAUUACCUCAACUGAUUAAAGUAGAAUCUGAAAUGGUA